rnacentral:sRNA from 1 species
UCCCUCUGAAAGUUGCUUGAAGAGGAUGACCAUCCCCAAUAGGGGAGGAUCCUUCUUCAGUCAAGGUUAUAUGAGUAGCUGUACUCUCCUGCUAGAAUCUCCAAACAAGCUCUUAAGAAACUUUAGGGAUGGAUGUGGGUGGCUCACGC